rnacentral:rRNA from 1 species
GGGACCAGCCCAGCACUGAAUCGACCGUCCGAUCAACGGCGUGAGGAGGUGUAGUGUUCGGGAGGAUCUACCGACCCGGCUUCGCGGGGCGAGUCCAAGUCCUUCUUGAACGGGGCCACUUACCCACAGAGGGUGCCAGGCCCGUAGGACUGCCACCGAAGCCGGAGGGAUCUCUCCCUAGAGUCAGGUUGCUUGAGAGUGCAGCCCUAAGCAGGUGGUAAACUCCAUCUAAGGCAAAAUAACACCACGAGACCGAUAGCAAACAAGUACCGUGAGGGAAAGUUGAAAAGAACUUUGAAGAGAGAGUUCAAAAGUACGUGAAACCGUUCAGGGGUAAACCUGAGAAACCCGAGAGUCCGAAACGGGAGAUUCAUCACGUUCCGUUCGGCCGGCGGACGCCAGGCGACGAGACGCUUCUGUCGAUCGCGCCUCGACUCGCCGUGCCCGAGCGGGACGUGUGCACUUCUCCCCGAGUAGAACGUCGUGAGCCGUUAGGUGUCGGUCUACGGCCGCCAGUGGAGACCAGGAGCGGGCCCCGGCCCGUUCCCAGGACCCGGCUGGCCCGACCGGCGCACGACGGCAUCGAAAAGGCACGGAGCCGCGAUUGUUCGCGCCCGGCCCGUCACAAGCGCGCGCGUCCCACCCGGAUCAUCGGACCUCGUGCCGAAUCCGGAGGCGUGCGGCUGCUGGUGGCGGCGCCCUCGGGCCGCCUCCGCACAUGCCUCUCUACGACGCUUUAGCUAAGGUUACUUUCAGGACCCGUCUUGAAACACGGACCAAGGAGUCUAGCAUGUACGCAAGUCAUUGGGACACUAGUAAACCCAUAGGCGAAAUGAAUGUGAAGACCGCUUCGCGCGCGUCGAGGGAGGAUGGGAAUCCGCAUGAGGAGACCCCGCACUCCCGGGGCGUCUCGCGCUCAUCGCGAGCUGAGGCGCACCCAGAGCGAACACGCUGGUACCCGAAAGA